rnacentral:rRNA from 1 species
UGCGUAGGUGGCAAGCGUUGUCCGGAAUUAUUGGGCGUAAAGCGCGCGCAGGUGGUUUCUUAAGUCUGAUGUGAAAGCCCACGGCUCAACCGUGGAGGGUCAUUGGAAACUGGGGAACUUGAGUGCAGGAGAGAAGAGUGGAAUUCCACGUGUAGCGGUGAAAUGCGUAGAGAUGUGGAGGAACACCAGUGGCGAAGGCGACUCUUUGGCCUGUAACUGACACUGAGGCGCGAAAGCGUGGGGAGCAAACAGG